GCAAUUGGUCACUCCUGCAAUUGAGGGACUUGAUAUUCUCAUAUGAGCACUCAGACAGAGGCAGCUGCCUAGCAUGCAAACUACGUUUCUGAAGCUUGGAGUCCAGGUAUAACCAUUUUGAAUUUUUGAGUUUGGAGAAACAGGAAAAUGCAAAAGAUUGCUGCUUCCUAGAAUCCUGAAUAGAAGACAGCCUAAACCUUACUGAAGUUACAGGUAACUGAAGACUUUCAUACCUCCACUCUUCAUCAGCUUGAUUGAAUA
rnacentral:misc_RNA from 1 species